rnacentral:rRNA from 1 species
ACGGAAGUUGGAGCUUCGGUUUUAACUUUAGUGGCGAACGGGUGAGUAACGCGUGAGGAACCUGCCUUUCAGUGGGGGACAACAGUUGGAAACGACUGCUAAUACCGCAUGACACUUUUGGGAGACAUCUCCUGGAAGUCAAAGCUUUAUGUGCUGAAAGAUGGCCUCGCGUCUGAUUAGCUAGUUGGUGAGGUAACGGCUCACCAAGGCGACGAUCAGUAGCCGGUCUGAGAGGAUGAACGGCCACAUUGGGACUGAGAUACGGCCCAGACUCCUACGGGAGGCAGCAGUGGGGAAUAUUGGGCAAUGGGGGAAACCCUGACCCAGCAACGCCGCGUGAAGGAAGAAGGCCUUCGGGUUGUAAACUUCUUUUACCAGGGACGAAGGACGUGACGGUACCUGGAGAAAAAGCAACGGCUAACUACG